rnacentral:rRNA from 1 species
GAUGAACGCUGGCGGCGUGCCUAACACAUGCAAGUCGAACGGAAAGGCCCUGCUUUUGUGGGGUGCUCGAGUGGCGAACGGGUGAGUAACACGUGAGUAACCUGCCCUUGACUUUGGGAUAACUUCAGGAAACUGGGGCUAAUACCGGAUAGGAGCUCCUGCUGCAUGGUGGGGGUUGGAAAGUUUCGGCGGUUGGGGAUGGACUCGCGGCUUAUCAGCUUGUUGGUGGAGUAGUGGCUUACCAAGGCUUUGAUGGGUAGCCGGCAUGAGAGGGUGACCGGGCACAAUGGGACUGAGGUACGGCCCAGACUCCUACGGGGGGCAGCAGUGGGGAAUAUUGCACAAUGGGCGGAAGCCUGAUGCGGCAGCGCCGCGUGCGGGAUGACGGCCUUCGGGUUGUAAACCGCUUUCGCCUGUGACGAAGCGUGAGUGACGGUAAUGGGUAAAGAAGCACCGGCUAACUACGUG